AUGCACCCUCCGUACACUCCGGUUCCUGCGCGCCGCCCGCACCCACCUGACCAUUGCUCGCUACGUUUUGUUAGUC
rnacentral:sRNA from 1 species